rnacentral:piRNA from 1 species
UNGUUCAGAAACAACAGUAACUCAAGUGCUC